rfam:Triticum aestivum genome assembly, contig: Triticum_aestivum_CS42_TGACv1_scaffold_129762_2BL
CUUAUACUCUCUUAUCCAUAUUACUUGUCUUAAAUUUGUCUAGAUACAGAUGUAUCUAACAUUUUUGUGUUAGAUACAUCUGUAUCUAGACAAAUCUAAGACAAGUAAUAUGGAUCGGAGGGGGUAGUAA